GACGAACGCUGGCGGCGUGCUUAACACAUGCAAGUCGAACGGAAAGGCCCUGCUUUUGUGGGGUGCUCGAGUGGCGAACGGGUGAGUAACACGUGAGUAACCUGCCCUUGACUUUGGGAUAACGUCAGGAAACUGGGGCUACUACCGGAUAGGAGCUCCUGCUGCAUUGUGGGGGUUGGAAAGUUUCGGCGGGUGGGGAUGGACGCGCGGCUUAUCAGCUUGUUGGUUGGGUAGUGGCUUACCAAGGCUUUGACGGGUAGCCGGCCUGAGAGGGUGACCGGCCACAUUGGGACUGAGAUACGGCCCAGACUCCUACGGGAGGCAGCAGUGGGGAAUAUUGCACAAUGGGCGGAAGCCUGAUGCAGCAACGCCGCGUGCGGGAUGACGGCCUUCGGGUUGUAAACCGCUUUCGCCUGUGACGAAGCGUGAGUGACGGUAAUGGGUAAAGAAGCACCGGCUAACUACGUG
rnacentral:rRNA from 1 species